AUGUCACUGCUUUGUUCUAGAGUGAGUGAAGAUGGAGUGAGAGACGAUUGAGAAGAUGCUGGGGAAGAUAGAGCUGAGCCAGAAGGUGAAGCUGUGGCAGAUCCACCUCACCUGUGGUCACGAGCUGCUGCUGUGCCUGAUCUCAGAACGUUGUGCAGACGUGGUCCAGCUCGGAGAGCAGCGGCAGGCCGAUGUCCAGGUGCAUCAGUGUGUUGUCCAGCCACUCCUGCAGCUUUGUGAAGGCAGGGCUGAGAAGAGUCGAAGAAAGCAGCCAGCGGCAGGAAGGCCCGCGGGCACUGGGCGGGCACGUACUGCUGACGGAAGCCAGCCACGUUCAGACCAAAGUCAUUGGUCCGAGGAAGGAAGUCUGGGUCGGCGCUCACUCUGCCGAUGAUCUGGACAGAAGCAGAGUCUUCUGCGUCUCUUCGUCAAAUGCAAUCAGCUCCUUCAUCACCAUCACCUCUCCCGUCUCCUUGUGGGUCACCUUCACCAGGUA